GGCAAAAAUGUGUCAUGAGAGCCACAAUGUCUAAUGCCAAUAUUUUGGGUAGCUUACUAUUAUGUACUACUAGGUGUACUAGUUGUAAAUAAUACUAGACACACGUGUCAAACAUUAAGGCAUUUUUUACACGUGCUUGUAACAAGAGCUGCAUGAUGCAUGCCUCAUGUUCAGCAGGCUAUAUAAAGAGGUACUUUUUGAUGCAGUGAGCAAGUUACAACUAAAGGGAAAUCACGAUGAAGACUCUUGUAUUCUUCUUUAUGACUCUCAGUGUUUGUGUUCUGGCUAUGCCAAGCACAAAGUCUUACAACAAUGAUCAUUACAGGAACAGAAACAAAGUAACAAACAUGAAGAACGAGACUUCACCACCAGAAG